ACGCUGGCGGCAGGCUUAACACAUGCAAGUCGAACGGUAACAUAAAGAAGCUUGCUUCUUUGAUGACGAGUGGCGGACGGGUGAGUAAUGCUUGGGAAUCUAGCUUAUGGAGGGGGAUAACUACGGGAAACUGUAGCUAAUACCGCGUAAUAUCGAAAGAUUAAAGUGUGGGACCUUCGGGCCACAUGCCAUAGGAUGAGCCCAAGUGGGAUUAGGUAGUUGGUGAGGUAAAGGCUCACCAAGCCGACGAUCUCUAGCUGGUCUGAGAGGAUGACCAGCCACACUGGGACUGAGACACGGCCCAGACUCCUACGGGAGGCAGCAGUGGGGAAUAUUGCGCAAUGGGGGCAACCCUGACGCAGCCAUGCCGCGUGAAUGAAGAAGGCCUUCGGGUUGUAAAGUUCUUUCGGUAGCGAGGAAGGCAUUUAGUUUAAUAGACUAGGUGAUUGACGUUAACUACAGAAGAAGCACCGGCUAAC
rnacentral:rRNA from 1 species